AGUUGGCGAACGGGUGAGUAACACGUAUCUAACCUACCAUUUAUGGGGAAUAACUGUUGGAAACGACAGCUAAUACCGCAUAUGUUAUUUAUUUGCAAUGAGUAAAUAAUGAAAGGAGCAUUUGCUUCGCUAAUUGAUGGGGAUGCGGCGCAUUAACCAGUUGGUAAGGUAAUGGCUUACCAAGGUAACGAUGCGUAGCCGAUCUGAGAGGAUGAACGGCCACAUUGGGACUGAGACACGGCCCCAA
rnacentral:rRNA from 1 species